rnacentral:lncRNA from 1 species
UUGGAGCUACAGCUUCCAGCCUACACCAUAGCCACAGCAACAUGGGAUCCAGGCCGCAUCUGUGAUCUAUACCACAGCUCAGAGCAACACCAAAUCCUUAACUCACUGGGUAAGGACAAGGAUCGAACCCACAACCUCAUGGAUUCUAGUCGGAUUUGUUUCUGCUGUGUCGUAACAGGAACGCCCCAGAAUCUAUUUUAGAAGGAAGCAACCAAGAUCAAAGCAGCACUAGGCAUGAUGUGCCUUGUUUAUUUACCUGUUGGAACAGGCAAGGAAACAAAAAGGGACCUGUGCAUUUCUCGUGCUUUUCAAACAGGAGCUGGAUCUCUUGAAAUGGCCAAGGAGGAGAAGACAGUUUGAUUUAGAUUUGGCAUGGGUUUAGGGGAAGAUAUGCCUUUGUAGCUGGCCUUAAAUAUUAUGGCAACAUGGACUGAGUUAGUCUCCAAGGGAGAAGUUGCCACAUGUUGUAACAGAAGCCACUGGGCUUGGCAAGGAAGGGAAUGAAAGAACGACAAUGAAAGCAACGCCAUUUUCCCACCAUGGCAAAGAUGGGCUGACUGGGACCACGCCUGUCCCUCUUUUCCAGGGAAGACCAAACCGGGCACUGCCCUUUCAAAUCAGUCUUCACCAUAUUCUAAACAAUACUGAAUUCUGAAAUUAAUUUUAAUUCCUAAUGGCUUCUUAAGGAGACCUUUUUCUUCCUCCUUACUAAAAACAUAAACAAUUCAAAAAAGAGAUUCAAAAAGAGGAACUGCACCCCCCCAAAUUCUGAGUCUGAGAAGGCUGAGAGGGUGCACUUUUCAAAUGUAUUUAUUAAUUUUAGAGCUCCAGCAAGCUGUUUUGAUGCAUGCUCCAUCUCUUACCAUUUAAAUUUUUAAAACAUUAGAUUCUUACCUAUAUCUAUCUUGCUAUUUUGACUGGUCAUUCCCAAACGUAAACUGCCCUACUUUGAAGCUUUCCAAAGCUAAGAAGUGAAGUCUGAAAUAAAGCAGGCUGUUAACUGAGUUUUUACUGAAUGAAUCUGCAUUCUUGCAAGGCCUUGAGCUGGAUAUAAAUUCUUAGGCUUCUUCCAUUGACAGUAAUUCUUUUGGUCAUCAUCAUUAUAACUUAACUAUUUCUAAGAGGGAAAAAUAAGCUUGUAUAAAUUGUACUGAAUACAAUAUCUAGUUUCUACUUACGAGAAGCUCUCUGGGACUUGGGGCAAUGGUAGUCCCUAUCUCAAUGGGUAGUUCUAAGAAUUAAAAUCAUGAACAUCUGUAAAGCAACUAAGCUAGACCCGACCUAUAGAAAAUCAUCCAUAAAUGUGAGCAAUAAUUAUGCACGGCCAACCUAGUAACUUUAUUAUCCUGCUGAUGAGAAUAUGAGCGCCAAAGAGCAAGGGAGCAACUGAACCAUGCCUGGGCAAACAGCGUUCUCUCCUUGCUCUCUUAUUCGCUCUCUCCAUCACAGUGGGAGCACCACAUCCCUUCUACAAUUCACUUUCUUGUCCACACAACAAGCAAUAUACAUCUACACCAAGAAUGCCUAGAGAGGCCGGAUGCAGUUUUUGGCUAAUAUCAGCAGCAGCAGGACAAUUCACAACAUCUGUAUCUUCCUGUCUAUAUGAGUCAGGGUUUUCCAGAGAAAGACAGCGAAUAAGAUGUGGUAUGUGUGAGUGUGCAGAGAGAAAGACAAAGGCAGAGACAGACUGGCAGGUUGAAUUUCAAGGAAUUGACUUAGGUGACUAUGGGGCAGGCUAGUGACCCAGGAAAAGAUGACACUGUGGUCUCCAGACAGAAGGCCAUCUGGAGGCAGAAUUCCUUCUUCCUGGGGGGACAACAAUCUUUUUUUCUGAAGGACAUCAACAGAUUGGAUGAGGCCCACAUACACUAUGGAGAAUAAUUUGUUUUACUCAACAUCUACUGAUUUAAAUUUAAUCUCAGUUAAAAACACCUUCACAGGUAUUUUUAGACUUUUUAGACUGGUGUUUCACCAAAUAUCUAGGUACUGUGCUCUAGCUAAGGUGACACAGAAAAUUAGCCAUCACUCUCCUUUCCGAAUAGAUGGAGUUCCCAUCGUGGCUCAGUGGUUAACGAACCUGACCAGCAUCCAUAAGGACUCAGGUUCAAUCCCUGGCCUUGCUCAGAGGGUUAAGGAUGCGGCGUUGCCUGAGCUGUGGUGUAGGUUGCAGACGUGGCUUGGAUCCUGUGUUGCUAUGGCUGUGGCAUAGCCUGGCGUCUUCAGCUCUGAUUCAACCCCUAGCCUGGGAACCUCCAUAUGCCACAGGUGCGGUCCUAAAAAGACAAAAAAAAAAAAAAAAGGCAAGAAAUUCAGAUGAGCCAUGCAUUUCUUAAGAGGUGAGUUCUAUGUCUGAAGGAUGCCUUUCAAGCAGAUACAGAAGAUGACAUCUGAACAGUAGGGAGAGUCAGGGGAAUACAUACCAGUCCACAGAAGGGACAGCUUCUAGAACAAAGACUGCAAACUUAUUAGGGCCAGACGAAUAAAACAAAUGAGUGAACCAAGCCGGGUGGGGUUAUGCACAGCCCCUGUACAACCGCUCAGCGGCCUCUGGCCACGGAAGGCUCCGAGUCUUUCUGCAACAGCCCCAGCACACAGCACGGCCCAGUGGGAGGACCACUGACUUUAAAGUCAGGUGGAAGGAGCCCUGUGUCCCAGUUCCACUGCACAUUAUCAGCAUGACCUGAAAUAAGUUACUUAAAACCCUUUGGGCCUCUGAGUUGUUUUGUGUGUGUGUGUGUGUGUGUGACCUGAGAUCGCUGUUGCUGACACUAUAUAAUUAUUGUGAAUACUCAGGGAAAAGUGCCUAAAAUGUGAUGGUUGAUAUACAUGUUUCCUACUUUGCUUUUAUUACCAUUUACAUAGCACUUAACUGUGUGCAAGACACAGCUCUUCAACUCAUUUAUUCCUCACAACAACCCUAGGAGGUAGCUUCUCAGUUUACAAAUGAAGCACAGAAAGGGUAAAUAAUUUGACCAGGGACACACAGCAGGCAAUACUAAAAGACUGUCAAAAACUCAAAAACAGGAGGAUUCAUUCUUAGAUGCUACAGGAGAUUCUAUCCCUCAAACUACCAUAAGCCUCUUUGUCUUUUCUUUCAACCUAAAUGUGCUGCAAGUACAUAGGGUACCUUCUGACUCCCACUCCCACUACUGACUCCCAUGCCGUGGGCUCCCCGCUGCUGUCACCCCACAGGUGCUCCCUCAAAGGCACUCCAGACUCGGGGCUCAGUGUUGUAGGGUGGCUCAUGGUCCCCUCUCCUCAACCCUGCGUUAACACCUUCUCUGCCGGGCACCAACCUCCGAGGGCUGCCUAGGCCUCUGAAAUUCCCUGUUCUCUUUGAAAGCCCCUCCAUGGUCUCCCUCUCAGAGGUAAGUCCCAGGUCCCAGCC